AGGUCUUUCUCCCCUGUGAUUUCCAGCUGCCAUCACUCUCGGCAACCCAAACAAACCCAACUGAUUGCACUUAUUUAUAGACCUGAAUGCUGAUGCUGGUCUCUCCUGGGACUAGCUCUCAUCUCUCAGGAUGGAGCAGAUUUCAGGUCAGCUCAUUUCUUAGCCUUCUUUCACUUCCUCUUGGCCCUGGUGCUGCUGCCAGCCCUUUUCCUACAGGAUGUUCCACUGCUUCCUCUUGAAGGAGGAGCGGCCCCUUCAAAACUGAGCUGUGUUCCCUGAGCUGUGCCCUGCUGCCAAGCCAGCCCCACACUGCUGCCUCUGCCUGAUCCAGGCUGUCAGAUGAAGGUUCUCCCACACCUCCAGUCAGCAUCGCAAAGCAGCUGGGGAAGGGGCUGGAGCUCACAGGCUGCAGACCUGUCUGGUAGCCAUGUAAAAUCCCCUGAGAGAUGGGCAGCACCGCAGCGAGGAUGGUGACAGCCUGGUGAGAGCUGCAGUGCAGCACUGCGUGUAUUUGACAAGCUGAGUUUGACACUCAGUCUGGCAGAGUGUCAGUUUGUCAAAUACCCCAAGUGAGGCACUUGCUGAGCAACACGGCCGUGCACCGAGGCGCUGGACUCCUUCACACCCAUAUUCUGCUCCUCUCUAAAAACCCAACGAGGGACUUCCACAUCAGUGUCUGAUCUAAUGACAUCUGCAGUGCUGUGGCUGAAACAAAGAGGCAUUCUUCAGAAUGAGGACUAAGUUCCCCUUAACAGCUGCUAUCUCACUCCACGUCCUCAACAUAAUGGAGAGAAUAUAAGAUAGACAAGUUCUUGAAUUAAGUUAGUGGCACUUUAAUGACAAAAGCAAAGGCCAUGUGUGGAAGCAAUCAAAAAAGAAGUAGGGAAACAUUCUCUACUUCCCAUCAGCCAGCAAUACCCAGCCACUGCCUGGGAAUCAGAGCCUCAGAACACGUGAUGGUUGCUUCCAAAGGCAAUCGAUGUAACCAGAAAUGCCUCCCCUAGCUCCUCCCACAUCCCUCAGCAUUAUUGCUGAGCUGGGUGUCAUACGGUGUGGAAAAUCUUUGUGGUUAGGAUAGGUCAGCUGUCCUGGCUGCGUACCCCCCAAGCUGUUGCCCACCCUGGCCUGCUGGCCUCUGUGGGUUGGAAAGAGAGCCUUGGUGCUGCACAAGUGCUCAGCAAUAGCCAAAUCCCUGGGGGGUUACUGACAUUGUUUUAGGCACAAAUGUAAAGCAAUGUUAGGGCUGUUAUGAGGAAUGUUAACUCUAUCCCAGCCAGAUAAAAGAAAUCUUUGUUUUUUCACUGAGUAAAAAGGCUUUUCUGAAACAAAUAUCAGUAUGAUGCUCUCAACGUAAUAGGUGAAAAAUUGUACUUACAAAGCAACUUCAUAGAUGGAUUCUGAAAAAAAGGAAGAAUUGAACAUAUGCAUCAGUACAUUUUAUGACUAAUGUGCCCCAGGAAUAAAAAUAAAAAGGGAAGAAAGCAAGCAAAACCAACAAAGAAACCACAGCUCUUUCCAGAUAUUCCCACCUUCAGGAAUCCACCUUGUUGCUCCCUGGGGGGACACUGGCUGGGGCAGGGAAGGGGCCAAGGCAGAGUGAUGGGACUGUGGGGAUAGGAAUGGGGCUGGAGAGAGCACAGUGCCCUGCCCUACCUGCCCACCCCUGCUAGAAAGAUGCUGUUCUGCUGUUCUUUUGUUCUUCACAAAAAUAAUUUUUAAAAAAUGUUUGCGUGCUCUUGUGUGUUCAAGAAUAAAUAUAUUCUGUGUUUGUUAAUUAAAAAGAAAA